rnacentral:rRNA from 1 species
ACUCCAGAGAUGGAGCGUUCCCUUCGGGGACAAGGUGACAGGUGGUGCAUGGUUGUCGUCAGCUCGUGUCGUGAGAUGUUGGGUUAAGUCCCGCAACGAGCGCAACCCUUAUUACUAGUUGCCAGCAUUUAGUUGGGCACUCUAGUGAGACUGCCGGUGACAAACCGGAGGAAGGUGGGGAUGACGUCAAAUCAUCAUGCCCCUUAUGACCUGGGCUACACACGUGCUACAAUGGCGUAUACAACGAGUUGCCAACCCGCGAGGGUGAGCUAAUCUCUUAAAGUACGUCUCAGUUCGGAUUGUAGGCUGCAACUCGCCUACAUGAAGUCGGAAUCGCUAGUAAUCGCGGAUCAGCACGCCGCGGUGAAUACGUUCCCGGGUCUUGUACACACCGA